rnacentral:rRNA from 1 species
AGUUUGAUCCUGGCUCAGGACGAACGCUGGCGGCGUGCUUAACACAUGCAAGUCAAGGGGGCCCAGCAAUGGGCAACCGGCGAACGGGUGCGUAACACGUGAGCAACCUACCGAACUGUGGGGGAUAGCCGGCCUAACGGCCGAGUAAUACCGCAUACGCACUCAGAGAGGCAUUUCAUUGAGAGGAAACCUACGGGACAGAUCGAGGGGCUCGCGGCCUAUCAGCUAGUUGGCGAGGUAACGGCUCACCAAGGCAACGACGGGUAGCUGGUCUGAGAGGAUGGCCAGCCACAUUGGGACUGAGAUACGGCCCAGACUCCUACGGGAGGCAGCAGUGGGGAAUCUUGCGCAAUGGCCUAACGGCUGACGCAGCGACGCCGCGUGUGGGAUGAAGCUCCUCGGAGUGUAAACCACUGUUGCCCGGGACGAACAGCUCGAUUAGUCGAGCCUGACGGUACCGGGUGAGGAAGCACCGGCUAACUCCGUGCCAGCAGCCGCGGUAAUACGGGGGGUGCGAGCGUUGUCCGGAAUCACUGGGCGUAAAGGGCGCGUAGGUGGUUUGAUAAGGGUGUGGUGAAAGUCCGGGGCUCAACCCCGGAUCUGCCGUGCCGACUGUCAAACUCGAGGACUGUAGAGGCAGACGG